rnacentral:lncRNA from 1 species
UAUAUUUUAAUUAGGAGCACCACUUGUUAAUAAAAGUAAAACAUAAUGGAAAAAGAUCAUAACAUAAAAGAAAUAUUAGAAAUUUGUGGGUUGUCUCCCAAGCAGCGCUAUGUUUAAUGUCGGUAGCUCGACUAACAAAUGAUCAGUAAAAAAAAAAUCCUAAAUAUGGGAACAAAACAAAAAUGAUAAUAAAACAAAAAUC